GAUGAGGAACGUAGCGAAAUGCGAUACUUGGUGUGAAUUGCAGAAUCCCGUGAACCAUCGAGUCUUUGAACGCAAGUUGCGCCUCAAGCCAUUAGGUUGAGGGCACGUCUGCCUGGGCGUCACAUAUCGUUGCCUGAUGCCAGUUUCCUCGUGAUGGGUGACUGUGCAGGGCGAAUGAUGGCUUCCCGUGAGCAUUGUUGCCUCAUGGUUGGUUGAAAAUUGAGUCCUUGGUAGGGAGCGCCGUGAUAGAUGGUGGUUGAGUGACGAACGAGACCCAAUCAUGUGAGACCCCUACCGAAUUUGGCCUUCAUGACCCACAUGCGUCUUUGGAACGCUCAUGACGAGACCUCAGGUCAGGCGGGGCUACCCGCUGAGUUUAAGCAUAUCAAUAAGCGGAGGA
rnacentral:misc_RNA from 1 species